GACAGAGGCCCCAAGCGUUAGGCGGAAUCACUGGGCUUAAAGCGUGUGUAGGCGGAUCGUUAAGUGUCUUGUGAAAUCCCACGGCUCACCCGUGGAACUGCUGGGCAUACUGGCGAUCUUGGGCCAACUAGGGGCAGCCGGAACAGCGGUGGAGCGGUGAAAUGCGUAGAUAUCGCUUGGAACGCCGAAGGUGAAAACAGGCUGCUGGGGUUGUGCCGACGCUGAGACACGAAAGCCAGGGGAGCAAACGGG
rnacentral:rRNA from 1 species